ensembl:lncRNA
UUUUGAAUGACAUGCCGUCUUAAUGUCAUUCACCUCCCCGCCUCCGAGCUACUCUAAAGAACAUUUUAAUUCUGCUACACACACAUGCACACAUACACGCGCACACACACACACACACACACGUACACACACAUACACAGAAAGUGUGGCAUUUAGGUAUGAGCUCAAUACAUUUCCAUAUUGAUUCAUGGCUAGGCCUUAAUAUUUUUGGGUGUGGAGAUCUGCAAAAGAACUGACUCGCUUUAGUCACAGAAAUCGACUGCAUAAGCAAGGUUGUACUACCUCGUAUUGAAUCACUGCCAAGGACACUUAUGAAUCCACUCAUCUUCGUUUCAUUAUAAAUCUAACGUUCCCUUACCAGUGAUACAACAAAAAACCAAACGAAAAGGAAAAAAAUCACAAGCACUUACUCGCGUCUCCAUUUACGAUUGAUAUCGGCGUACUUAUCUUUAUUUGUUUUCUGCGGGAGCCUUUUUGAAUACGUCCUCAUUGCUUUCUGUUCAAUACCCCAUUACAUUUUUUCUGUGCUCUCGCAAAAUAUAACCGUCGGCCUCAAAAUGGUUGCCUGGCUGGCUGACUGCGGGCCCGACCGCCCCAGCGUGAAUCUGUACCGUCAACAGAAAACUGUUGAGAAACGAGAAGGCUGCGAGAGAAGACUUGUUACGCCGCAUGUUCUGCUGUUGCCUGCUACGAGUAUGACAGGGUUCCCCGAUUCUCCUCUCCGUUAUUCCUGUGAAGGACAGCCCUUCACCUUCGUUCUAUUGCUCCUGUGUGGUUCGGUGGCCCUGACAGAUACUUUGUGCUGUUCCCCUCUGUGUGAGAUUGGUCUGUCGAAGGAGUAUAUUUGUUGGCAAACUGUCAUUCUAAAUUGAUAAUAAUAUGAUUUGAUACGUGCAUCAAUUCCUAUUCAGCCAGCAUUAGUGUAGCUUUUGAUGUGGAGGUACUGCAUCAUCAUCAAGUUAAAUGCUGUUUUGUAUUGUAUGGGUUCAAACACAAACACACAGCCUUCACACAGACCUGCAGUACACCUGCCUUCUGCCCAUUUAAGAGCCAAACAUUGGAGUCAAGGUAACACCAGGCCAGGCCAGUGAGGCUACGCUGCCUGAGUUUAAAGAGGGUCGCAAAUGGAGCCCCCGCUGGGGUCCACCCAGACAGGAAGUAGACCUCACGACUCGGGCUAGAAGUCAGAAAAAGCUGACUUUAUAUUCAGACGGUAUAUGCAGUAAUGAAUAAUUAUUCUGAAAGGACUUUAUAGUGAGUCGGCAGAUAUUCUGUGCAUAAGUAGCCAUAAAGUGAACUUCAAAACGAACACUGACUCGAUUUUUUUUGUCAAAAACAUU